GCUGCCUCUCUCCAUGGUGCGCCCCUCCCCAACGGCAGCCUGCUUUUCCACUCCCCCAUCAGUUUCCUAUCCAUCUCAGACUGCCCCACGUGCAAGAGCUGAAAGGGCAACAAGUGACGACUGCCUGCCAUUAGGUAGGGCUGUGGGCUGAUGAGGGGCUUCCCGAGGGAGACAUGUCCAUGCUCGCAGUUACCAGGCAGGACACAGGGCUCUGCACGUACCUGCCUGUGGCCAGCUGAGAAGGCUUGGAAGGAGAAAGCUUUGCUUCUAACCACCCAUCUAAGAAACAGCGGCAUUUCUGUCACGGACAUCCACAGAUCCUUAGCGGAGGCUUGUUUGACGUCAGACAUCAGAUGUAGCCUUUUUAUGGCACUUCAGAAAAGACACUUGGGUCUCACGAGCUGCACAAUUGAAACUUUACAGCUUCUGUUCACGAUGUGAACUCUCGCCUACCACUCCAGUGUCAUGCCUGCCUGCUGCCAUAAUCCCCACCAUGGUUAUCAUGAAUUCUAAAAAACCUGCCAACUCCUGGAGAUGCUUCCCAGGACCUGUCCAAGCAUAGCUUGGUGGUACUUCGAUUCACACAAUCCUGGACUCACUCGAUAGGAAGAGGAAAACAUCAGCCAGGAUAGGUCAUCCUGGCUUCCUUCACUCCCUGCUUUUCUUCUCAGCAAACCUGCCAGGAACAUGCAUGCCAGAAUCAGCAGACCUCACCCAAGCGCUGGCCGAGUCUUUGCCAUUGAUGUCAUCUUAGGCAAGAUGCCUGAGCCCCUGACUCUCGAAGUGUGGGUUUCCUCACUGGUAAAAUGACAAAAACAGUACCCCUCCAACCCCCACCCCGACCCCAAACAGCCACUGUUCCUUCCUUUUCCAAGCCAGGCAGUUCUAAUAGCCAUACAGAGCUUGAUGAACAAAAGACUCUGAGCAUCUCCGCUGUGGCUAGGUUCAGUCAUGAGUUCAGUGUCUGGCCAAUGAGAUGUAAGCAAAGUGAUUGCUUCAG